GUGUAUGUGAUUUUCCAACAGAAUGAAUAGCAUGCUGGGGGCUUCACUCCCAAAAGCAGCUGUGAGACAAAACAAAGGGUGUAUUUGAUUUGAUUUAGAAUUAAUUAAAUGCACUUGUAUUUAACAUGAUCACUCUCCAUUCUAUUUUCCCUUCUACCAUAUUAGCAAUUAAAGUUUUAUCAUUGCUAUUUUUAAAAUGUUUUAAACAAUGGGCGGAAAUUAGCAUAUAUUAUAUAGUAGGUCUAAUUUUAAUAAUAUUUUUGCAGGGUGGCAUAUGCUGUUCUUUUUAACUCCGGUGAAGAAUCCAGAUAUUCUUCAAAGUUAAGGAUCCAGUUAAUAUGUUUAAAGUUUAACCCUGCUCUAUCAUGGCUCCAGAAAUGAUAGACAGCUUACAAGGCCAUGGCAGAGGUCGUCUACUCAGGAAAGUUUCACAAAGAAGGGAUCCCUUUGUCAGGCAGCCAUCAAACACUACAAGUCACCCUGCUCUGUUCUCUGUCUUCACUAAUUAAACUUGAUGGCAAGAGUUGGGUUCCACCUGGAUUUUUAUUAACAGAACAUUCUGUUCCUCUCCAAGGCCAACAAGUCAUGUCCUUCUAACAUUGGCCAACGGCCAACUGGCAGCCCCUAGAUUGGAGCUGGCAGCACCACCAUUGAGUCAAAGAUUAUACUAGAAGUCCCCUGAGCCGCUUAAUUCUCUUCCCACUGGGGAAAAAAACCCAGGACUCAGAUGAAGUCAAGAAAGCAAAUGAUUGCAGAAGGACAUAGUUUUCAUGGUUUCAUUUGCAUAGUUGGAUGGACAUUUGGGAGAAAAUGACCUACAGAAGAAACAGUUAAUUUCUGAAGUUAAUCACAGCAUGUGAAGAUCACUAGAAGUCCCACAGUGACAUUAGAAAAAAACAAAGUUUUAUGAAGGAAAAACAGAAGCAAAAGGAGAAGAGAAGGAGAGAAAAGAGAAGGAGAGAUAAACAAGCUUACCUGACUUGUGU